UUUAUGGGGUGACUGCGUACCUUUUGUAUAAUGGGUCAGCGACUUAUAUUCUGUAGCAAGGUUAACCGAAUAGGGGAGCCGAAGGGAAACCGAGUCUUAACUGGGCGUUAAGUUGCAGGGUAUAGACCCGAAACCCGGUGAUCUAGCCAUGGGCAGGUUGAAGGUUGGGUAACACUAACUGGAGGACCGAACCGACUAAUGUUGAAAAAUUAGCGGAUGACUUGUGGCUGGGGGUGAAAGGCCAAUCAAACCGGGAGAUAGCUGGUUCUCCCCGAAAGCUAUUUAGGUAGCGCCUCGUGAAUUCAUCUCCGGGGGUAGAGCACUGUUUCGGCAAGGGGGUCAUCCCGACUUACCAACCCGAUGCAAACUGCGAAUACCGGAGAAUGUUAUCACGGGAGACACACGGCGGGUGCUAACGUCCGUCGUGAAGAGGGAAACAACCCAGACCGCCAGCUAAGGUCCCAAAGUCAUGGUUAAGUGGGAAACGAUGUGGGAAGGCCCAGACAGCCAGGAUGUUGGCUUAGAAGCAGCCAUCAUUUAAAGAAAGCGUAAUAGCUCACUGGUCGAGUCGGCCUGCGCGGAAGAUGUAACGGGGCUAAACCAUGCACCGAAGCUGCGGCAGCGACGCUUAUGCGUUGUUGGGUAGGGGAGCGUUCUGUAAGCCUGUGAAGGUGUACUGUGAGGUAUGCUGGAGGUAUCAGAAGUGCGAAUGCUGACAUAAGUAACGAUAAAGCGGGUGAAAAGCCCGCUCGCCGGAAGACCAAGGGUUCCUGUCCAACGUUAAUCGGGGCAGGGUGAGUCGACCCCUAAGGCGAGGCCGAAAGGCGUAGUCGAUGGGAAACAGGUUAAUAUUCCUGUACUUGGUGUUACUGCGAAGGGGGGACGGAGAAGGCUAUGUUGGCCGGGCGACGGUUGUCCCGGUUUAAGCGUGUAGGCUGGUUUUCCAGGCAAAUCCGGAAAAUCAAGGCUGAGGCGUGAUGACGAGGCACUACGGUGCUGAAGCAACAAAUGCCCUGCUUCCAGGAAAAGCCUCUAAGCAUCAGGUAACAUCAAAUCGUACCCCAAACCGACACAGGUGGUCAGGUAGAGAAUACCAAGGCGCUUGAGAGAACUCGGGUGAAGGAACUAGGCAAAAUGGUGCCGUAACUUCGGGAGAAGGCACGCUGAUAUGUAGGUGAAGCGACUUGCUCGUGGAGCUGAAAUCAGUCGAAGAUACCAGCUGGCUGCAACUGUUUAUUAAAAACACAGCACUGUGCAAACACGAAAGUGGACGUAUACGGUGUGACGCCUGCCCGGUGCCGGAAGGUUAAUUGAUGGGGUUAGCGGUAACGCGAAGCUCUUGAUCGAAGCCCCGGUAAACGGCGGCCGUAACUAUAACGGUCCUAAGGUAGCGAAAUUCCUUGUCGGGUAAGUUCCGACCUGCACGAAUGGCGUAAUGAUGGCCAGGCUGUCUCCACCCGAGACUCAGUGAAAUUGAACUCGCUGUGAAGAUGCAGUGUACCCGCGGCAAGACGGAAAGACCCCGUGAACCUUUACUAUAGCUUGACACUGAACAUUGAGCCUUGAUGUGUAGGAUAGGUGGGAGGCUUUGAAGUGUGGACGCCAGUCUGCAUGGAGCCGACCUUGAAAUACCACCCUUUAAUGUUUGAUGUUCUAACGUUGGCCCCUGAUCGGGGUUGCGGACAGUGUCUGGUGGGUAGUUUGACUGGGGCGGUCUCCUCCUAAAGAGUAACGGAGGAGCACGAAGGUUGGCUAAUCCUGGUCGGACAUCAGGAGGUUAGUGCAAUGGCAUAAGCCAGCUUGACUGCGAGCGUGACGGCGCGAGCAGGUGCGAAAGCAGGUCAUAGUGAUCCGGUGGUUCUGAAUGGAAGGGCCAUCGCUCAACGGAUAAAAGGUACUCCGGGGAUAACAGGCUGAUACCGCCCAAGAGUUCAUAUCGACGGCGGUGUUUGGCACCUCGAUGUCGGCUCAUCACAUCCUGGGGCUGAAGUAGGUCCCAAGGGUAUGGCUGUUCGCCAUUUAAAGUGGUACGCGAGCUGGGUUUAGAACGUCGUGAGACAGUUCGGUCCCUAUCUGCCGUGGGCGCUGGAGAACUGAGGGGGGCUGCUCCUAGUACGAGAGGACCGGAGUGGACGCAUCACUGGUGUUCGGGUUGUCAUGCCAAUGGCACUGCCCGGUAGCUAAAUGCGGAAGAGAUAAGUGCUGAAAGCAUCUAAGCACGAAACUUGCCCCGAGAUGAGUUCU
rnacentral:rRNA from 1 species